rnacentral:rRNA from 1 species
AUUGAACGCUGGCGGCAGGCCUAACACAUGCAAGUCGAGCGGAUGAAGGGAGCUGGCUCCUGGAUUCAGCGGCGGACGGGUGAGUAAUGCCUAGGAAUCUGCCUGGUAGUGGGGGAUAACGUCCGGAAACGGGCGCUAAUACCGCAUACGUCCUGAGGGAGAAAGUGGGGGAUCUUCGGACCUCACGCUAUCAGAUGAGCCUAGGUCGGAUUAGCCAGUUGGUGGGGUAAAGGCCUACCAAGGCGACGAUCCGUAACUGGUCUGAGAGGAUGAUCAGUCACACUGGAACUGAGACACGGUCCAGACUCCUACGGGAGGCAGCAGUGGGGAAUAUUGGACAAUGGGCGAAAGCCUGAUCCAGCCAUGCCGCGUGUGUGAAGAAGGUCUUCGGAUUGUAAAGCACUUUAAGUUGGGAGGAAGGGCAGUAAGUUAAUACCUUGCUGUUUUGACGUUACCAACAGAAUAAGCACCGGCUAACUUCGUG